CGUGUAGGCGGUUCGCUAAGUCUGAUGUGAAAGCCCGGGGCUCACCCCCGGAAGUGCAUUGGAAACUGGCGGACUCGAGUCCCGGAGAGGAGGGUGGAAUUCCUGGUGUAGCGGUGAAAUGCGUAGAUAUCAGGAGGAACACCGGUGGCGAAGGCGGCCCUCUGGACGGUGACUGACGCUAAGACGCGAAAGCGUGGGGAAGCAAACA
rnacentral:rRNA from 1 species